GCCCGCUUAGCAAAGUGGUAACGCGUUGCACUUGUACCCUUGUUGACAUGCAAAGAUCGCUCGUUCGAUUCGGGCAGUGGGCA
rnacentral:tRNA from 2 species